UGGCAAGAUUAACUAGCUUACUG
rnacentral:miRNA from 1 species